GUGAAUNGCAGAAUUCAGUGAAUCAUAGAAUCUUUGAACGCACAUUGCGCCCCCUGGUAUUCCGGGGGGCAUGCCUGUUCKAGCGUCAUUUCACCACUCAAGCCUCGCUU
rnacentral:rRNA from 1 species